AGUGAACGCUGGCGGUAGGCCUAACACAUGCAAGUCGAACGGCAGCACAGAGGAGCUUGCUCCUUGGGUGGCGAGUGGCGGACGGGUGAGGAAUACAUCGGAAUCUACUCUGUCGUGGGGGAUAACGUAGGGAAACUUACGCUAAUACCGCAUACGACCUACGGGUGAAAGCAGGGGACCUUCGGGCCUUGCGCGAUUGAAUGAGCCGAUGUCGGAUUAGCUAGUUGGCGGGGUAAAGGCCCACCAAGGCGACGAUCCGUAGCUGGUCUGAGAGGAUGAUCAGCCACACUGGAACUGAGACACGGGCCAGACUCCUACGGGAGGCAGCAGUGGGGAAUAUUGGACAAUGGGCGCAAGCCUGAUCCAGCCAUACCGCGUGGGUGAAGAAGGCCUUCGGGUUGUAAAGCCCUUUUGUUGGGAAAGAAACCCAGCUGGCUAAUACCCGGUUGGGAUGACGGUACCCAAAGAAUAAGCACCGGCUAACUUCGUGCCAGCCGCCGCAGUAA
rnacentral:rRNA from 1 species